AUUGAACGCUGGCGGCAGGCCUAACAAAUGCAAGUCGAGCGAGCGGAGGAAGGGUGAGUAAUGUCUGGGAAACUGCCUGAUGGAGGGGGAUAACUACUGGAAACGGUAGCUAAUACCGCAUACCAUCGGAUGUGCCCCGAUGGGAUUAGCUAGUAGGUGGGGUAACGGCUCACCGAGGCGACGAUCCCUAGCUGGUCUGAGAGGAUGACCCGCCACACUGGAACUGAGCCACGGUCCAGACUCCUACGGUAGGCAGCAGUGGGGAAUAUUUCACAAUGGGCGCAAGCCUGAUGCAGCCAUGCCGCGUGUGUGAAGACGGCCUUCUGGUUGUAAAGCACUUUAAGUUGGGAGGCGUGACCAACAGAAUAAGCACCGGCUAACUUCGUGCCAGCCGCCGCGGUAAUUC
rnacentral:rRNA from 1 species